CGUGUCCCAUAAAGUCCAUUUACUUAACAAUAUUAAACGGGCUUCGUCGGGUUUGUCCACUUGUGUCCAUUUAAUAAACGGGUUUUGAUAAAAAUAACUGGACAGCCCAUUAAGUUCAUUUAAUUUUUUUUUCUCUUCAACCUAAUCUAUCGUCGUCGUUCUUCCUCCUUCUUCACCUCCUUGGCUCUUUGCCUCCUUACGAAAGAUCAAACUGCUCCAAAUGAGUUUCUGAUUCGAAUCAUGAAGCUUCUAGGGUUUCGAUUUGUCUUCUAGAGUCGUUGUUCUUCACCUCCUUGCCUCCUUUCAUCUCGUCACGAGAUUCCCGAGAUUCCCGUGUCUUCUACUUCUUCUUCUUCACUCUCUCCAGCUCGUGUUUCCUCGUAUCAUACAAUCAAGGUUUCACGGACAUAUGCAAAGGAGUCUCAAAAAUUGCAACCAAAGCUGAGAUUAAAAGUGAGAUGGACUAUGAUACUGUGCACACAAUGGCGCUUCUUGAAGCUCAACGUGAAUACAUGGACAUGAAUGAUGAAGAUGCUGAAUUUGAUAUAGAUGAAGAAAUGGCAGAAACAGAAACAGAAGCAGAAGCAGAAGUUCAGUGUGAACCACAAGCCACUGCAUCAACACAAGCAGCGAAACCUCAACGUGCCAUUGAAGAUCUCUUUGAUGAAAAUGAAGAUGUUGGAAAGAAAGCAAGUAAUUAUGGAGUGGAGUCUUCAGCAUCAAAAGAUUGAUAUGUUUGGCUGGAACAAAAGUACAUAGUUUUCUGGUUCUGUUUUACAUCAGUUUAUAAUUUUUUUGAUGAAAAUAUAUAAUAUGUUAUGUUUUGAACAUGGACAGAUCCUGGUAGACGUUCAAGAAGGAAAAGAGUAACUUAUAGACACUUAGUGUGAAGUGUGAACUUUAUUUUUCAAUAUGUUGUGACUGUGAUUUGUAAACUUUGAAUUUUUAGUUGAAGCAAAACAAUGUAAGGUUCUGGAUUCAUAUUUUAUUUGACAGGUAUUUAACAGGUUUCAUCGAAAAGAAAUGCUAUGAUAUAAA